rnacentral:rRNA from 1 species
UACAGAGGUCUCAAGCGUUGUUCGGAUUCAUUGGGCGUAAAGGGUGCGUAGGCGGCGCGGUAAGUCGGGUGUGAAAUCUCGGAGCUUAACUCCGAAACUGCAUUCGAUACUGCCGUGCUUGAGGACUGGAGAGGAGACUGGAAUUUACGGUGUAAGCGGUGAAAUGCGUAGAUAUCGUAAGGAAGACCAGUGGCGAAGGCGGGUCGCUGGGCAACAACUGACGCUGAGGAGCGAAAGCGUGGGGAGCAAACAGG